rnacentral:rRNA from 1 species
UUGCGCGCUGCUAUCAUGCAGUCGAGCGGAUCGAUGGGAGCUUGCUCCCUGAGAUCAGCGGCGGACGGGUGAGUAACACGUGGGUAACCUGCCUGUAAGACUGGGAUAACUCCGGGAAACCGGGGCUAAUACCGGAUAAUUUAGUUCCUCGCAUGAGGAACUGUUGAAAGGUGGCUUUUCGCUACCACUUACAGAUGGACCCGCGGCGCAUUAGCUAGUUGGUGAGGUAACGGCUCACCAAGGCAACGAUGCGUAGCCGACCUGAGAGGGUGAUCGGCCACACUGGGACUGAGACACGGCCCAAACUCCUACGGGAGGCAGCAGUAGGGAAUCUUCCGCAAUGGACGAAAGUCUGACGGAGCAACGCCGCGUGAGUGAAGAAGGUUUUCGGAUCGUAAAACUCUGUUGUUAGGGAAGAACAAGUGCCGUUCGAAUAGGGCGGCACCUUGACGGUACCUAACCAGAAAGCCACGGCUAACUACGUGCCAGCAGCCGCGGUAAUACGUAGGUGGCAAGCGUUGUCCGGAAUUAUUGGGCGUAAAGCGCGCGCAGGUGGUUUCUUAAGUCUGAUGUGAAAGCCCACGGCUCAACCGUGGAGGGUCAUUGGAAACUGGGGAACUUGAGUGCAGAAGAGGAAAGUGGACUUCCAAGUGUAGCGGUGAAAUGCGUAGAUAUUUGAAGGAGCACCAGUGGCGAAGGCGACUUUCUGGCCUGUAACUGACACUGAGGCGCGAAAGCGUGAGGAGCAAACUCGAUUAUAUACCCUGUUAGUCCACCCCGUAAACUAUGAGUGCUAAGUGUAAUACGGUUUCCGCCCUCUACUGCUGAGCUAACACAUUACGCACUCCGUCUGGGAAUGACGGGUCGCACGAUGAAUCUCACUUGAAAUUACAGGGGCCCGCACAUCGGUGCGAGCAUGUGGUUAAAUUCA